GACCGAACCACGGUCCCGGGAGCUUUCCAAUCCAACAGGUGCUGCCUCCUCCAGUCAAUUCCACCUCCUCCUCCACCCCCGCCUCCGGUCGAGCUCCCCUCCCCUCCCCUCCUCCGCCCCAAUCCUCGCCCGAACCCUAGCCCCGGGCCUCCCGCCAGCCGCGGGAUGCGCCGCCCGCCAUCCCCAGCUGCCCGCUGAUCCUCCGGUCGCCGCAGCAAGCUCCUCGCCCACCGGCAUGAGCCGCUACUACGCGCCCUUUCGCGGCGCUGCCAGCGGGGACGGCGGAGGCUGCCUGCCGCUUCCUAUCAUCGCCGCUGAGGCCGCGCUAGCUGUUGUCGACGCCGCCAUUGCUGCCACCGCCUUCGUGCAGUUAGCGAGAAUUCACAGGCACAAUCAGCAACAUGGAUGGACUCGGCAAAAGAUAUUCCAUUUUAUGAUUGGCCUAUGCAACAUAGUAUUCCUUGCGUAUUUCGUAUCUACCGUCAUCGCUACUUGUGAGAAAUGGGUUUGUUGGGUACAUGGAUGCGGAUUUGUUUUGAUGGCUAGUCCGCAGAUAUUGCUUCUUGCCUCGUUUCUACUACUGUUGUCUUUCUGGGUUGACCUGUGUCAUCAGACAAAUGAUGAAGAUGAAGAUGAUGUAAGGAGUCACCAAGAAGCUUUACUAGACAGAACAAAAACCAAACCUGGCACCCGCCCUACUGAUGCCCGUCGGAAGUGUUUCCCAGGAAUACAGCUUGGAAGCCGGCAAAAAUUUGUGAUUUUGGUUCUUGUACUGUCAUUUAUUGUUAUGCUCGCCUUUGCCAUCCUCAUCUGGGUUGGUAGGGGAGAAAAUCCUAUUGAUUCAUCACUACUGAAAAAGGUUUAUUUGGAUGUGUUUUCAGUAGUUGUUCUAGUACUUGGCGCUGCUUUGGCAUGUUAUGGUGCAUUAUUGUUCUCGAAGAUGAGCAAAGUUCGUUCUGAAACCGUGUCAACUGAGAAGUGGAAGGUUGCCAGUUUAGCUGCUGUCUCACUUAUCUGUUUCUCGUCUUCUGCUAUACUAGCACUUGUUACUAAUAUUCCAGUGCUUUUGUAUUGGUACUCGACUGAGGCGGAGAUCAUAAAAAAUGCUGUUAUAUUAUUUUUAUAUUAUUUAAUAGGCUCAUCGGUGCCAUCAGGAUUUGUUUUAUGGGUCAUGAGAGAUAUGCCUCAACGACCAACAGUGGAAAGGCCCACCCAAUCGAGAGUGGUUACCUUGUUCAGGGACAGACCAUCCCCUACACAGGAUCCACAGUGGAGAGCUGCUGUUACAUCCUCUAACAAGGCCCUCAAGUCAAGCCCAAUUUAACCUGAAGAGGAAAACAAGUAAGGUAAUGCUGAGACUUUUCCUGCAUACUUGAUGCGCUGGGACUUUUACCAACACAUUAGUGACAUACUGGCAUCUACUACCAUUCUGACGACUGGCCGGUACAAGAUGGGGUCUGUAAUUCCUACUCCAAGGUAGCUUUAGUUUGGAAACAAUGGAAUUUUACCUGUGGAUGUAGCAAGGUUCCCGCCCAAGCAUUGCGCAUCGUGUGUUUAUCCAUUAGAGCUUUGGUCGGGCAAGGCCUGGAUCAGUAACAAAUGUAAAUAGGCAUAGAAAUGACCGCGCUCUUCAUGGUUUGGCGGUCAGGCUGUUAUGUCUUCCCAAAAUUUUCUGUUUAAUGAUGUGUUGUUGGUUCGGUUAGCUGGUGAGUUCUGUCCUGGAAACUGAAAUCGAGCAUCAAAAGGGAUUUUUUUUUCCUGCUAGAUAUCUACCCUUGUGCUGUGAUGUGAUUAGCUUGGAAAUGUAAGGUUGGUGCUAAAAUUGUUGCGUUCCUUGGAUUGCUGCAGUUCUAAUGAUGGAUCACCCCUGGAGGAGUCUGUCAGUGUGUGUCUGGAUGCAAGUGUGCAAUGUUGCAAUGCAGGCUCACGAUGUGAUUAAAUGUUUGUUGAGGGAGGUGGGAAGCUAAAUGGUACUACAAACUUUCGAAGGCCGCCAUGUAAGGGCUCGGCUUAAAUCUUAAUAGAGGAAAGACAAAU
rnacentral:rRNA from 1 species